rnacentral:rRNA from 1 species
CCUGAUGCAGCCAUGCCGCGUGUGUGAAGAAGGCCUUCGGGUUGUAAAGCACUUUCAGUUGUGAGGAAAAGUUAGUAGUUAAUACCUGCUAGCCGUGACGUUAACAACAGAAGAAGCACCGGCUAACUCCGUGCCAGCAGCCGCGGUAAUACGGAGGGUGCGAGCGUUAAUCGGAAUUACUGGGCGUAAAGCGCACGCAGGCGGUUUGUUAAGCUAGAUGUGAAAGCCCCGGGCUCAACCUGGGAUGGUCAUUUAGAACUGGCAGACUAGAGUCUUGGAGAGGGGAGUGGAAUUCCAGGUGUAGCGGUGAAAUGCGUAGAUAUCUGGAGGAACAUCAGUGGCGAAGGCGACUCCCUGGCCAAAGACUGACGCUCAUGUGCGAAAGUGUGGGUAGCGAACAGGAUUAGAUACCCUGGUAGUCCACACCGUAAACGCUGUCUACUAGCUGUGUGUGUCUUUAAGACGUGCGUAGCGAAGCUAACGCGCUAAGUAGACCGCCUGGGGAGUACGGCCGCAAGGUUAAAACUCA